rnacentral:rRNA from 1 species
AACGAACGCUGGCGGCAGGCUUAACACAUGCAAGUCGAACGCACCUUUCGGGGUGAGUGGCAGACGGGUGAGUAACGCGUGGGAAUCUACCCUUCUCUACGGGAUAGCUCCGGGAAACUGGAAUUAAUACCGUAUACGUCCUGAGGGAGAAAGAUUUAUCGGGGAAGGAUGAGCCCGCGUUGGAUUAGCUAGUUGGUGGGGUAAAGGCCUACCAAGGCGACGAUCCAUAGCUGGUCUAAGAGGAUGAUCAGCCACAUUGGGACUGAGACACGGCCCAAACUCCUACGGGAGGCAGCAGUGGGGAAUAUUGGACAAUGGGCGCAAGCCUGAUCCAGCCAUGCCGCGUGAGUGAUGAAGGCCCUAGGGUUGCAAAGCUCUUUCAGUGGGGACGAUAAUGACGGUACCCACAGAAGAAGCCCCGGCUAACUUCGUG